rnacentral:antisense_RNA from 1 species
CUUGAUCGAGCCCAGCCACAGGGGCUCGGAACGGUCCUGACCGUACGUCGCCAGCAACGCCUGGGCCUC